rfam:Populus trichocarpa scaffold_10_contig_281, whole genome shotgun sequence.
UGGCCGAAUGUGAGGAUUGGAGGGAAUUAAACAAGAUUGCUUUGUUCUCUUUUUACUGUUUAAUUUCCUCCAAUAUCUCAUGUCUGACCA